UACGUAGGGUGCAAGCGUUGUCCGGAAUUAUUGGGCGUAAAGAGCUCGUAGGCGGUCUGUCGCGUCGGCUGUGAAAACUCGGGGCUCAACUCCGAGCUUGCAGUCGAUACGGGCAGGCUAGAGUUCGGCAGGGGAGACUGGAAUUCCUGGUGUAGCGGUGAAAUGCGCAGAUAUCAGGAGGAACACCGAUGGCGAAGGCAGGUCUCUGGGCUGACACUGACGCUCAUGCACGAAAGCGUGGGGAGCGAACGGG
rnacentral:rRNA from 1 species